UGGAAGGUGGUAGACACCUCUGU
rnacentral:piRNA from 1 species